AUGCCAUCUGCACUAGAGAAAGUGAAAAGGCCCCUUGCUCCACUAAAGCAAAUCUAUGAAAACGCGCCAACAUCUGAUGAUGUCCACCCGAUGGAGAUUAGAAAUGAAGAAAGUCAGAAAAUCCCCAGCAAACAUUUCCUUUGUUCCCUACUAGAUAUGGCCCAAGUGAUCCCGCGUUCACUGAGGCUUCAUCUUUUCAAACUAGCAUUCUUUGGGGUCAGCCCAUACAAAGGAGAAAGAACUUCACUAUCACCCAGGUUUUGGACUGAAGAGCAAACUAUAUAUUAUGCUCGAAUCUUGUUCGACAAGAAUAGGAUUUUCAACCACAAGAUAUUAGACUUCGUUGAGCUUGAAGAAAUGCCCUGUUUACACCAAGCAUUCGAGCAUAUUGAACAUGCCCUCCGGAAAGGAUUCAUGUGUUUCAACCAUGGCUGGAAUAGAGAAAUUAUCCUUCAAUUAUAUGCCACAUUGUAUAUCUCAAGAGGGCUUGCAAACACCUCAUCCUGGAUUCUCGAAUGGAUGAUUGGCAGAGAAAAGAUCAAGUGCUCGGCAGAUCAAUUUUUGGUCAUGAUAAAUCUUCCUUGGUGUGAGUUUGAUAAUGAUAGAGAGCACAUGCUGCAUUAUUGGGAAGUGUCCAAAGCACAACUCCACAUUCUGAUGGUUCCCAACUUGGUUGGUGAUGAAUGCAUUGAUGUUGAUCCCAAGAAGUUGGCCUAUGACAACAAAUUGAUGUUUCACAUUCUGGGCAAUACCCCCACUCCAACAAAUAGAACAAAUUCCACCAAUGGCAUUGUGGGAAAUGCACUUCUUGCCACAAGGAAUUUGGUUUGA
rnacentral:rRNA from 1 species